GAUGAACGCUGGCGGCGUGCCUAACACAUGCAAGUCGAACGGACAUUUUUGGAAGCUCUUCGGAACUGGAAUCUAAAUGUUAGUGGCGGACGGGUGAGUAACGCGUGAGCAAUCUGCCUUUCAGAGGGGGAUAACAGCCGGAAACGGCUGCUAAUACCGCAUAAUGCAUCGGAUUCGCAUGUUUCUGAUGCCAAAGAUUUUAUCGCUGAAAGAUGAGCUCGCGUCUGAUUAGCUAGUUGGCGGGGUAACGGCCCACCAAACCGACGAUGGAUAGGGGUUCUGAGAGGAAGGUCCCCCACAUUGGUACUGAGACACGGACCAA
rnacentral:rRNA from 1 species